rnacentral:rRNA from 1 species
AGAGUUUGAUCAUGGCUCAGAAUCAACGCUGGCGGCGUGCCUAACACAUGCAAGUCGAACGCGAAAGUCCCGCAAGGGAUAAGUAGAGUGGCAAACGGGUGAGUAACACGUGGGUGACCUGCCUUCGAGCGGGGGAUAACGUCCCGAAAGGGACGCUAAUACCGCAUAACAUCCUGCCUUUGAAGAGGCGGUGAUCAAAGCUGGGGAUCGCAAGACCUAGCACUCGAAGAGGGGCCCGCGUCCGAUUAGCUAGUUGGUGGGGUAAUGGCCCACCAAGGCAACGAUCGGUAGCCGGCCUGAGAGGGCGGACGGCCACACUGGGACUGAGACACGGCCCAGACUCCUACGGGAGGCAGCAGUGGGGAAUUGUUCGCAAUGGGCGCAAGUCUGACGACGCAACGCCGCGUGGAGGAUGAAGAUCUUCGGGUCGUAAACUCCUUUCGGGAGGGAAGAUGGGAUGGGGUAACCCAUUCGGACGGUACCUCCAGAAGCAGCCACGGCUAACUUCGUGCCAGCAGCCGCGGUAAUUC